rnacentral:rRNA from 1 species
GUGCCAGCAGCCGCGGUAAUACGUAGGGUGCGAGCGUUGUCCGGAAUUACUGGGCGUAAAGAGCUCGUAGGUGGUUUGUCGCGUUGUUCGUGAAAACUCACAGCUUAACUGUGGGCGUGCGGGCGAUACGGGCAGACUAGAGUACUGCAGGGGAGACUGGAAUUCCUGGUGUAGCGGUGGAAUGCGCAGAUAUCAGGAGGAACACCGGUGGCGAAGGCGGGUCUCUGGGCAGUAACUGACGCUGAGGAGCGAAAGCGUGGGGAGCGAACAGGAUUAGAUACCCUGGUAGUCCACGCCGUAAACGGUGGGUACUAGGUGUGGGUUCCUUCCUUGGGAUCCGUGCCGUAGCUAACGCAUUAAGUACCCCGCCUGGGGAGUACGGCCGCAAGGCUAAAACUCAAAGGAAUUGACGGGGGCCCGCACAAGCGGCGGAGCAUGUGGAUUAAUUCGAUGCAACGCGAAGAACCUUACCUGGGUUUGACAUGCACAGGACGCCGGCAGAGAUGUCGGUUCCCUUGUGGCCUGUGUGCAGGUGUGCAUGAAGGGCGAUU